rnacentral:rRNA from 1 species
GUGCCAGCCGCCGCGGUAAUACAGAGGUCCCAAGCGUUGUUCGGAUUCACUGGGCGUAAAGGGUGCGUAGGUGGUUGGGUAAGUCUGGUGUGAAAUCUCCGAGCUUAACUCGGAAAUGGCAUUGGAUACUAUUCAGCUAGAGAGUUGGAGGGGGGACUGGAAUACUUGGUGUAGCAGUGAAAUGCGUAGAUAUCAAGUGGAACACCAGUGGCGAAGGCGAGUCCCUGGACAACUUCUGACACUGAGGCACGAAAGCUAGGGGAGCAAACAGGAUUAGAAACCCUCGUAGUCC